rnacentral:rRNA from 1 species
AUUGAACGCUGGCGGCAGGCUUAACACAUGCAAGUCGAGCGGAGAUGAGGUGCUUGCACCUUAUCUUAGCGGCGGACGGGUGAGUAAUGCUUAGGAAUCUGCCUAUUAGUGGGGGACAACAUUCCGAAAGGAAUGCUAAUACCGCAUACGUCCUACGGGAGAAAGCAGGGGAUCUUCGGACCUUGCGCUAAUAGAUGAGCCUAAGUCGGAUUAGCUAGUUGGUGGGGUAAAGGCCUACCAAGGCGACGAUCUGAAGCGGGUCUGAGAGGAUGGGCCGCCACACGUGGACUGAGACAGGGCCCAGACUCCUACGGGAGGCAGCAGUGGGGAAUAUUGGACAAUGGGGGGAACCCUGAUCCAGCCAUGCCGCGUGUGUGAAGAAGGCCUUAUGGUUGUAAAGCACUUUAAGCGAGGAGGAGGCUACUGAGACUAAUACUCUUGGAUAGUGGACGUUACUCGCAGAAUAAGCACCGGCUAACUCUGUGCCAGCCGCCGCCGUAAUAC